UACGUAGGGUGCAAGCGUUAAUCGGAAUUACUGGGCGUAAAGCGUGCGCAGGCGGUUAUGUAAGACAGGUGUGAAAUGCCCGGGCUUAACCUGGGAACUGCAUUUGUGACUACAUGGCUAGAGUUUGGCAGAGGGGGGUAGAAUUCCACGUGUAGCAGUGAAAUGCGUAGAUAUGUGGAGGAACACCGAUGGCGAAGGCGGCAUCCUGGACCGAUACUGACGCUGAGGAGCGAAAGCCAGGGGAGCAAACGGG
rnacentral:rRNA from 1 species